AAAAGAGGAGGGUUGGUGGUAGACGUUAGCUCAAGGCUACUCUUCCUCAAAAAAACCCAAAAAAUUACAAAUUCGAUACCAUUCAAAUAAGCAACAUUAAUUCAACAAGAUGGACAAUGUUAUUUUGCUGAAAACAAAAUAUUUGUGGGUAUAGAAUCUUUCUCUGAGACCACUCACCUUGCCACUCCCUAGACCUAGCACAGAACAGACAUUCUCAAGUCCUGUCUGCCAUCCUGUCUGGUCUCUUCCCUUCUUCUAACUCCUUCCCUUCUAGAUCCUCACAGGCACUCCACCCACCAGGGGUGCAGCUCCAAUUGUGUCUCCGUCUCAGGCACUAGUUGCCAGUCAUUUCUGCUCCCCACAGGUCUCCUGUUAGAUAAGGGAAAAUAGGAGCUUCUGAUCCUAAAACUGGAAAAGGAGGAAGAGAAAGGAAGCCACCACAUGGGUCUGACCUGAGAACAGAAAACCUGAAAAAGACAUUGGGAAGGUUACACACGUGCUGACACAAAUCAUUUUCCUUAUGCUGAGAAUGUCUGUCUCUGUCACAGUACAGAAGGACCUAUUCUAUCACCUCAGCCGAGAAGGUGCCAGGCUUGACAGGCAAGGAGGGAGAAGGGUCCCAGUCUGCCGAGCCUGUCGCCCCCUUCUAGACUCUGAAUCACUCGAAGACAGAGGACUUGAAGUACAGUCUCUUAUUAAUCUUUGUAUCCUCAGUGCCUUGCAGUACCUGGCAUGUGUCAGCUAAUUAGUGAAUGAACAAACGACUAAACGAACCAAGAGCAAUCAAAUUCAUUGAAUUGUGAUGAGUUGAAUAAAAAUUCAAUGAUUAAAUGGUGCAACCCAAAUACAACAAUUUUCACCGUAAUUAAUUUAUCAGUAGAUGCGACGGGCAUCUGGUUCAUGCACCAACCCUCAAUGACACCCGACUGCUGUUUGUCAUUCCUAGAUGUCCUAUUAUCUGGAAGAGGCUUUGGGGACUGACCUUCACUCAGGUUUCUGUCCAGCUUAUCUUCAGAAGCCCACAUGUUUUCACAACAGAAAGUACAGACUCUGUCAUCUUCGGCAAGUUGGGGAAGGAUGUUGAAUGGACCAUCUACUUCUGAGAGGCGAAGCCCCAGACCCAUCUGGAUGGGAGAGGCCGAGAUUGAGUGGGCAGUAAAGGUCUUCAAAAUCCAUUAUGUAUUUUACACUUGCAGUACAUCUGAAUUUGAACUAGCCAUACUUCAAGAGCUCAAUACCCACAUGUGGCUAGUGGCUUGUGUUCUGGACAAUGCAGGUCUGGAGCACACUAGUGCUCCAUAUACGGGAGCUGUUAGACAAUAAAAAUAAUGCAAAGUGUCGGAGGAAGAAAGGCUUAUUUUGAGAGCUGUGGGGAGGUGCCGUAUUGGUCAAGUCCACGGGGUGAGUCUUCAUUCACCUGCUAACAUCUAGAAUGGCCAAGAGACCUUGAGUGCCCUGGAUAAAUGAGUAGGGCCACUGGACCAGGAUAAAGGUGGACAUCAAUGUGAAAGUCCUUGCCUUCCAGACAGCUGCAGAGAGAGUGGACAGCAGAGGACAGCAAAAGAGCAACAGGCUUUUCACGUGGAUGGGAAGAGACAGUGGGGAGGAGACAGUGGGCAGCAGCCUUUGCUGGGAAGGCCUCUGCCACAGAGUAUCUCAAAAUGGAAUCCAUCCAGACGCCAUCAGAGAUGUUACAGAAAUGGCCUGUUCCUGGAGUAUGUUGGUGGCAGAGUAUGUAAUGUGGAUUCUUUUUUCCUUUCUAUAGAACUUCUUUCAGCUAAUUUGUCACCAGCAUGCUUCCUGUUGGGAAGCUGGAACCAGCCAGCUAGGCUGCGUAGUGAAAAGAGUUUGACCCAGGUUUCUGGGCAAAAUUGUCUUCCAAAAAUGACUUUUACGUGUGAGCCACUCUCUGGAUAAUAUUCCCCAUUGUAUCCAUGGCACAGUACUUGGGAGAAAAAUCCAUUAUGUAUAUUUAAAACUCAGUUUUAAUACAAUGAGGAAAAAACAUAUGUAGGACAAAGAGAAAGACCACUAACUCUGGUAUCCAAAGUAAGAGACGUCUCCCACCCACAUCUGACUAAUGAUUACAUUUAAUUGCUCAAUGCCGUUGUCUCUUGUCACUGUGAGUUCCUGAAUCGGAGGGACAAAAGGGCAAUUAGUGCCAAGUCACUGAGCCCAUCUCUUUGCUCUUUAGGAACAAUCUGGGUGGUGGAUUCUGAACCAUUUUGCAAAGAGUUCCCAAAGAUGCCUGUGGGGCUCUGUAAGCAGGGGCAAGUUCAGCAUAUUUAAGGGAGAGUUCUGCAGUGUCCAUCUGACAACCCAGCCUACAGCUCAGAGGGAACGAUUUUAACAUUUUGACUUCUCCAGACGAUGAAGACCCACCCCCCAGGUUUCAAAGAAUAUCUGUCAGUAAUAUCUUAUUGAAGAUCCAUGACUUACACAAAAUGUCCUGUAAUUUUUCUGAGAGAUUUCCAACACAGAGUGAGGAAGGUAAGGGGGUUACAGGGCUCAUUCCCCAGCACUAAGAAGGCUGCUAAUUUGAUAAAGUAUCAGCUGCUGUUUGACAACGAACAGAAACACACCAUGAAAACACAACUGUUCCUUUCAGACUGUAUUAAUAGAAAAAUCUAGUAAACAAGAAAGAUUAGUACAAGAAUAUUCUACCAAGUAGAUCCAAUUUCUCCAGGGAAAUGUUAAUCCCUACGGCUACAAGCUUUCACAUUUAAAAAAAAAUGAGUCAUCAUUGUAUCACUGAUUAUUUUAAGAGAUUUUAUAAAGGUUAAUGGGUGUUAGAAUCAAAUGAGUUUUCUUUUCUAUUUCUUUUUUCCCCUCCAAAUAUUUGCAAUGAACAUUACAAAUAUAUCCUUAAUGAUCAAAACAUUAAAAUGUAUUUAAAGCUUCUUAUGGGCCCCUUGCCCGUUUCAUUCCUCUUUGCUCCCUAAACUUAAACUAUAUUAUUCAGUCUCAGCUCCUUGCAUGCUUUCUACUUGCUAUAUAGGUGUGUAUCCAUAGAUGAAAUACACUAUUUCCUUUGCACAUUUUAAAGUUUAAAUAAAAGGUAACUACUGCUAAUAGUUUGUGUCUUCUUGCAGAAAUUUUUAUGAAUAUAAAAACAUAUAUUUUAUAUAAAUAAGCUCAUACUAUAUAGACAUUUCUACACCUUGUGUUUUUGACGUAACAUAUUUUAGAUGUCUUUUUGUAUUCACCCCUAAAGACCUAUCUCAUUCGGUUUAACAGCUGGACGUAUUCCAUGUUAGAUAUACCCUAACUUCUUACCCGGAUUUCUUAUCGAUGGGCAUUUGAGUUGUUUACUUUCCCCUCUUGCAAACAUUCCUCUAUUACUAAUAUUGCUGAAGAUAUUUCUGUGCACUCAUAAAAGUAUAUGUAUGAACUAAAUUUCAAAGCUUGUAUGCAUUUCAAAUUUUGAUAGACAUAGCUAAAUUGCUCUUCAAAAAGUAUGAGAAUGUCUAUUUCCCCAUAUUCUGGAUAUUAUCAAGUGAUUUAACAUUAGUCAAGCAUUGGUGAAAAACAGCAUUUUAUUGUUUGAAUUUGCAUUUCUUUAUGUAUGAGAUACAAACUCUUCAUUUAUCUGUUGAUUAUUUUUUCCUUUGAACUGCCUAUUCAUAGCCUUUUCUUAUUUAUAUUAAUUGGAUUUUUUUCAAAUUGCUGUAUAUAUAUGCUUUUGUGUAUUAGGGAAAUUAUCCUCAUUCUUCUAUGUAUUGCAAAUUUUUUUUACCAGUUUAUUAUUAUUUUUUACUUUGUUUAUGGUAUUGUUUAAGUUACAAGACCCUGCUGAAUUUGAUUCUUUCUUACUUCUCUUUCUUGCUCUAGUCUGUGUCCUUACCGCUCUAAGAUUUCCUAUUGAACAGUGACAGAACCAAAGCAGGGCAUUGCUCAUAAACCUGCCUCUCAGAAUUGAGGGAUCCCAGCCCUUGGGACGGUUCCAGCAGGUGCUAAAAUUUGUCUGACAGGAAUGUCGUGCAGAGGACAGAGAGACUGGAUGAGAAGACUAAUUAGAGUUCCUUCUGCUUUUCGGGAAACUCCAUGGUGCUAUGAAGAGUCUGGCUGGAGUGAUUUUUUGGAGUCUUUUGGAAGGAGCAUCGUUUUUUGGAAUGUUCAUUGUCUGUAGUUACAUGCGUUUACUGUAAGGGAGUUUUCCAUCUUGGCAGUGAUUUAAGCCCGCGUGGCCCGCUGGAAAGAAAAGAGGUUGAGACAAUGUGACUCAGGGGCUGUGGCCAACCCCACUCCCACCCCCACCCCCUGCCACUCCGCAUACACACCUCUCUGCCCUUGAAGGUCCCAGCGCCUCCCUGACCCAUGUGAGGAAUGAGGAGUGGGUUUGUGUGACAUGCGAGGCCGCCAAGGGCUGUUGUGGGACCAUCCGUAUCCCCUUCCCAGCCCACAUGCAGUGUGUUUGCUAGCUUCUUCCUGAAGACGGACACGUUCCCCUUUCUGUUUACACCAUGGACACUCAACAAAUAGCAAACGUUGGUCGUCAUAAUAAUCCAUGGUUACCUCAAAAAACAAUCAGCUCUUGAGUAAAACCAGCAUUAGCGGGACGCCAAGCAACUGUCUCGGCUCAGGCGCCUCAGAGCAAGCUUACUAUUUUGUAGCCAAUGACCUUUCAGGGCGAGCUCGCUCCUGAGUGUUACUGGAGGAGGACCAACUGCUUUCCCAGAGUGCACAGAGGUGGCUUCCGACAGCUGUCUGCCCAACUGUUUGAUGUCACCUCUCUAUUUAGCCCAUGGACUGGACCUGAGCAAAGAAAACAAAACAACAGCAAGUGCUGAACUGUACACAUGGCGCGGCAAUGGAAAUGGCUUCUUUGCUUAGACUUUGGGAAUGCUCUGCAGAGGCCAGGCUGCAGGCUGGCAAGGGAGGCUAAGCCAAGAUCUGGGGUCACUGUUUCUAAAUUAAGGACUUCAGAAGUUUGGAUUAGUUUAGCAUGUAAAUUUCUCAGACCUUUCCGUCCUGGGUUCAUUGGAGUCUGAGUCUGGGCUGCUGACAAGGGGGCAAGGCUAGUGAAGAGAGCGAUGGAUCCAAGAGAAUGAUCAAUCAUCUCAGAUUUCUUCAGAGUGGGAAACCAAGAUGCUCCAACAUGGUGGUGUGGUGCAGUGCUAAGGGACCUGGGGUGUACCUGGAGAAUAUACCAAUAAGUAAGAGGUGGCACCUCUUAGUUCCGGCUCUACUGUGGCCCAGGCAUUUUGUCUCUAGGCUUAGUUGAUCUGAGUUUGCCUGUGUGAUGGGAGGGUCAGACUUCACUAGAUGAGCCCUGAGGCCUUUGCUGGCCUCUGAUUCUAAGAGCCCAGUAACCUUUGCAAGAUUAAACAGAAGCCAGAAACUA